UUACGGCCAUAUCUUGUUCAAACACAAGUUCCUGUAUGAUCACCGAAUUUGAGCAACGUUGAGCCUGGUCAGUACCUAGAUGGGUGACCGCUUGGGAAUACUAGAUGCUGUAAG